CCCUAGUGGUCAGUGCGCAUCAUAGCUACCGGUCAUAACGGUUGCUUAGACUUUUAUAUAGAUAGAUAUGUACAUAAAAAAAACUCAGAAUGUGAAAGUAUCCUUGUUUCCAUUUUUGGCUGCAUAAUAUUUUAUUGUAUGGCUAAAUCAACGUUUAUUUAACCAUUUCUCUAUUACUCAACAUUAUUUCUAAUCUUCUGCUUAUACAAACAUCGUAAUGAACACACACCAAUCCACUUGUAGGAAAGACAUGUGAACUGCUGGUCAAAAAGCACGUGCUCAUUGCAUUUAACAAAGACAGUGCCAAAUGAGGGGGCACCUGAGAUGACACAGCUAUCUCAGACCUCCUUGUGUGCCUCUCUCCUCAAGCCCCUUGACUGCCUGCUGCCUCACCUGUGUAUCCAGAGCUGCCUGGUGUGCAGGGUCCAGCACAGCUCCCCAGCCAGCCUUUGGGGUCAGUCAAAACAUGUCUCGGUUUGUCCUGCAGUGGGCUACUCCACCUAGAUGAUGCAGUGAGCCGCCCAACUGCCUCCUCAUGUUCACUCUUGUUUCUUAAUCAGGUUGUUCUCUUUAGAACACCAAAUGGAGGACACCGCAUCAUUCCCUGUUCUGAACCUUUCAGUGGCUUCUGUAGCACUUGGAGCAACAUUCAAGUUCUUUGUCAGACUUACUUGGUCUGAAAUGGCCCUACCUAGUAUUCUUUCCCUCCUCUUUGGCAACAGUACAUUCUCCCAGGCUCACUACCCUCCAGGUACUUUGUCCUGUUUUUGUUCCUUAAACAUGCCAACUCCUUUCCCAGCCCUGGGCCUUUACAAACCGGCUCAUCCCCAUGUCUGGGAGGUUCUCCCUCACUCCUUUGAAGCUUCUCCUUCACAUAUUCUCACUUUCAAGUUUCAGCUUAAAUGUUCUAUUGGGAGAGAGGCUCUUCUGGAUCCUCCCCUUCCAAAUCUUUCCGCCCCACCUGUCACUUAUACCUCUGUCAUCCUCUUUAUCUUCCUGGUGACACUAUCACAGUGUGUGAAGAUCUCUUUCAUUUGUUUGCUUCUUCUCUUACUUGCCAUUUGUCUCCCCAACUAAAACCUCGCAGGCGAUGUGGAGGCUGCAGCAGCCAGACAGAGAUGUGCUGGCUCUCCGCCUCUGGAAAAAGAAGUUCUCUACUUGCCAUCUUCUUAGAAACCUCAGUGCCAUGAGAGCCAAGUGGAGGAAAAAACGAAUGUCAGACUGGAACGCAAAAGAGGAAAGAUGAGGGAGAGGUCUACGUAAAGCCCAGCUUGUGCACCCAUGGAAGCCACAGGAGCAGAAAUAAGGGCAGCCAGAGGCCAGGGACACGGGUACCAAUUGUUGAACUGCAUGCCUGCUGUAUAGAACUUCUCGAUGGAUCUAGAACAUACAUGUCAUCUGAUUGCUGCGACCACCUUUUGAGAGACCCACCUGCUCUUACACAAACAGUCCCCUUUGGUCCUUUGCCCUGGACCAGUGACAUUAUGGACUGUUCUGUUCUCAGUUGUGGCUGCAUGUAACAUGUGUACAAUAAAUCAUCUCUUCUGUCUUAGCUGAAGAAAAAAUUUCUCAUUGGCAA